GACGAACGCUGGCGGCGUGCUUAACACAUGCAAGUCGAACGGAAAGGCCCUGCGUUUGUGCGGUGCCCGAGUGGCGGACGGGUGAGUAACACGUGAGUAACCUGCCCUUGACUUUCGGAUAACUUCAGGAAACUGAGGCUAAUACAGGAUAGGAGCUCCUGCUGCAUGGUGGGGGGGGGAAAGUUUCGGCGGUUGGGGAUGGACGCGCGGCUUAUCAGCUUGUUGGUGGGGUGGUGGCUUACCAAGGCUUUGGCGGGUAGCCGGCCUGAGAGGGUGACCGGCGACAUUGGGACUGAGGUAGGGCCCAGACUCCUACGGGAGGCAACAGUGGGGAAUAUUGCCCAGUGGGCGGGAGCCUGAUGAGGCGGCGCCGCGUGCGGGAUGACGGCCUUCGGGUAGUGAACCGCUUUCGCCUGUGACGAAGCGGGGGUGACGGUAAUGGGUAAAGAAGCACCGGCUAACUACGUG
rnacentral:rRNA from 1 species